rnacentral:SRP_RNA from 1 species
GACGACCCCUCGUGCGGCGUCACCUCACCGAAUCCCCCCAGGGCCGGAAGGCAGCAAGGGUACGUGGGCUCUGGCGGGUGUGCGGGGGGUCCCUUUU